UACGAAGGGGGGCUAGCGUUGUUCGGAAUUACUGGGCGUAAAGCGCGCGCAGGCGGUCUUCCAAGUCAGUGGUGAAAGCCUGGAGCUCAACUCCAGAACUGCCAUUGAAACUGUUAGACUUGAGUACGAGAGAGGUGAGUGGAAUUCCCAGUGUAGAGGUGAAAAUUCGUAGAUAUUGGGAAGAACACCAGUGGCGAAGGCGGCUCACUGGCUCGUAACUGACGCUCAGGCGCGACAGCGUGGGGAUCAAACAGG
rnacentral:rRNA from 1 species